rnacentral:rRNA from 1 species
CAAAGGAAUUGACGGGGAGCACCACAACGGGUGGAGCUUGCGGUUUAAUUGGAUUCAACGCCGGAAAUCUUACCGGGACCGACAGCAAUAUGAAGGCCAGGCUGAAGACUUUGCCGGAUUAGCUGAGAGGUGGUGCAUGGCCGUCGUCAGUUCGUACUGUGAAGCAUCCUGUUAAGUCAGGCAACGAGCGAGACCCACGCCCACAGUUGCCAGCGUACUCUCUGGAGUGACGGGUACACUGUGGGGACCGCCGCUGCUAAAGCGGAGGAAGGAAUGGGCAACGGUAGGUCAGUAUGCCCCGAAUAUCCCGGGCUACACGCGAGCUACAAUGGUUGGUACAAUGGGUAUCUACCCCGAAAGGGGACGGGAAUCUCCUAAAACCAAUCUUAGUUCGGAUUGAGGGCUGCAACUCGCCCUCAUGAAGCUGGAAUCCGUAGUAAUCGCGUUUCAACAGAACGCGGUGAAUACGUCCCUGCUCCUU